CAGAAAGCCUGCAGUAGAACGCUGCACAACAUGCUGCAGUUUGUUUCACUGCCCCCUUUGCCCCAAAGGCAUGUUUAAACCAAGCAUCCCGUCGAAGCUUCAGCGACAUUUGGAGGUCCACCUAAAAAUGCCAUUACAUUUGAAGAUAAGAAGAUCUGGACAGAUACAUCAAAAGCCCUCCUGUGAGGUGAGGUGUCACCAGUGUUUAGACUGAAGAAAAGAAGGGUGGAUGACAUUACUACAGAAGAAGAGCAGCAAGCUGAGGUUUCAGUCAGACCUGCUGAUGUGAGCACACCAGUGGAAGGGGUAGGCUAUUCUCACUGUAUCUAUUGGUCAGAUACUGUUGGUGCAGCAGUUAUGGUACAGAAAGACAUAUUUUUUAUUUCUGUCUUUUCUAUAGGACUCGGUUGAAGUGCGUAUUCUGUAUGAUUGCAGACAUGCAGCAGAGUGGGUUGAGGCCAAUAAGACACUCUUCUCUGCCAGAGUGGACCUGCCUCAUGUUCUAUACAUGGGGGAGGAGGAACAGGCUGAGGCUGCUCUGCAGUAAAAAGACAUGGAUGAGCAGGAAAGGGAAGAAAUCCUGGAGGUCUUCAAAUUCACAUUUUACAACAUUGAGGACGUGGAAAUUUUGUGACAUAGUAGUGCACGAAAACAAUUAUUUGGCAUAUUGUGAAUGUCACAAAGAUGAAUAAUUGAAGGAUAACAGAACAUUUGAUCAUGUUGUGACUUUGUGUGUUCAUGUUUUGUUUUCUCAUUGAGCACUUAAUAAUUCACUUGAACUACACUGUAGAUCUCAAGAGUUUGGGUAGUAGUUGGUGGUAUUUAGGUGCUCCAGCAGCACAAGAACAUAAUUAGCAUAGACAAAAGAUCCUCGGCUUUAUAGGCUACAAACAGACACUUGAGCCCCAAGUCACCCACGUUUAUGUUUUCCGUAAUGACCUAAGCUGUAAUAUUACACAAAACUGUGUAUAUUGCUCUAUGUACAUGGCAAUCAUUAAUGAGAAGUGUUUUGAAAAAGACAAAUGCUAAUGCUUCACUUGUCCAAAUAAAAAGAACCAGAAAAGCACUCAGAGAGCGCAGUACUCCUUCAAGGCUGUUCAUUCCCCCACAUGGCAUUGUCAGAAAUGUAGCG